AUAUGUGAAACACUAAGUAUACCUGUAGAAUAGCCCCAGGAUGUAACGUGACCAGUCCUCCGUAAUACACACCUACACACUUAAUAUUUUCACACGUGAGAGCUCAUAGCAGACGCCAGUAACCAAAAAAGUCCUUGCAUAAGGCAGCUAAGACUAACAGAACUUAUUGGAUGAUGUUAUAACUGAUACAGAAACAGUAAAGCACACUAUGUUCAACACAAGUGACUUGGUAUGGAUGGAAGAGAAAAAUCCCCAAAUAUCGCCAGCUACCCUCUCAAAAUUAUAUAGUACUUCAAAACCCAAAACGAAACUGUCACUUUUUAACAGACACGCCACCAAUUAAGGAAUUUAAAUGCAUGUGCCCUUAACAUGUAAAAGCUCCAACAGAAGGACGCCUGUCACUCAGGGACCCAAUUACGAAACUUUCACUUUUUAACAGACACUCGUGAAAUUCUAUGCAUGUGCCCUUAACAUGUAAGCUUAAACAGAAGGAGGACGUCUGUUAAUCCUGAGGAUGAGCUAUUCCAGGUAUCCACAUAUCUGGGGCUGCGCGAUAGAGGAUGAGGAUUUGCAUCACACUCUAAAAUAAAUAUUGAACUUUGCAUCGAAUUAAAUUAUCAUACCUGCAAACUGCUGAAGAAGACAGCAACGCAUUGAAGUACACAUCGUAUUAUAAAAUGUUUUAUUUAUCCAGAAACAUUAGCACAAACCGAUUAUGUACCGACACACACAAUUGUAAAUCACACAUCGAAUUAUAUGCAUGUACAGAAGAAUCGUAAAAACAAUGUAACGUAACGUAAAGUAACCAAGCCAAUACUGUUCAGAACGUCGACCUAGUUAAAAUA